CCUACGGGCGGCAGCAGUAGGGAAUCUUCCACAAUGGGCGAAAGCCUGAUGGAGCAACGCCGCGUGGGUGAAGAAGGUCUUCGGAUCGUAAAACCCUGUUGUUAGAGAAGAAAGUGCGUGAGAGUAACUGUUCACGUUUCGACGGUAUCUAACCAGAAAGCCACGGCUAACUACGUGCCAGCAGCCGCGGUAAUACGUAGGUGGCAAGCGUUAUCCGGAGUUAUUGGGCGUAAAGGGAACGCAGGCGGUCUUUUAAGUCUGAUGUGAAAACCUUCGGCUUAACCGGAGUAGUGCAUUGGAAACUGGGAGACGUGAGUGCAGAAGAGGAGAGUGGAACUACAUGUGUAGCGGUGAAAUGCGUAGAUAUAUGGAAGAACACCAGGGGCGAAAGCGGCUCUCUGGUCUGUAACUGACGCUGAGGUUCGAAAGCGUGGGUAGCAAACAGGAUUAGAUACCCGUGUAGUC
rnacentral:rRNA from 1 species